GACGAACGCUGGCGGCGUGCUUAACACAUGCAAGUCGAACGGAAAGGCCCUGCUUUUGUGGGGUGCUCGAGUGGCGAACGGGUGGGUAACACGUGAGUAACCUGCCCUUGACUUUGGGAUAACUUCAGGAAACUGGGGCUAAUACCGGAUAGGAGCUCCUGCUGCAUGGUGGGGGUUGGAAAGUUUCGGCGGUUGGGGAUGGACUCGCGGCUUAUCAGCUUGUUGGUGGGGUAGUGGCUUACCAAGGCUUUGACGGGUAGCCGGCCUGAGAGGGUGACCGGCCACAUUGGGACUGAGAUACGGCCCAGACUCCAACGGGAGGCAGCAGUGGGGAAUAUUGCAGAAUGGGCGGAAGCCUGAUGCAGCAACGCCGCGUGCGGGAUGACGGCCUUCGGGUUGUAAACCGCUUUCGCCUGUGACGAAGCGUGAGUGACGGUAAUGGGUAAAGAAGCACCGGCUAACUACGUG
rnacentral:rRNA from 1 species